CAGAGGCCUCGAGCGUUAGGCGGAAUCACUGGGCUUAAAGCGUGUGUAGGCGGACUUCUAAGUGCCUUGUGAAAUCCCACCGCUCACCGGUGGAACUGCUGGGUAUACUGGUCGUCUUGAGCCACUUAGGGGCUACCGGAACAAAUGGUGGAGCGGUGAAAUGCGUAGAUAUCAUUUGGAACGCCAAUGGUGAAAACAGGUAGCUGGGAGUGUGCUGACGCUGAGACACGAAAGCCAGGGGAGCGAACGGGAUUAGAUACCCCGGUAGUCCUGGCCCUAAACGAUGUCGACUAGAUCGUGGUAGCUCUGACGCUUUCACGGUCGAAGCAAAAGUGCUAAGUCGACCGCCUGGGAAGUACGGUCGCAAGGCUA
rnacentral:rRNA from 1 species